AAGGACAGGACAGGGCCCCCUCUGAGGCCAUCACAGUUAGUCGCAGACUAUAGCGUCUUGGAGUAAGACUCUGUGGAAGAACCUUAAACUGGCUUUAAAAAUCUUGAGAGCAAUUAAAGACUGGUGGAGGACCAGAAACAAACAAAACUGAUGAAUUCAGUGACUUGCUGUCUGGAAUUAUAGAGCACCAACAACCUCUGGGUGGUAUACCAGAUGAUGACCUCAGCACAAAUGGAGCAUAACUGUUUGGCUGAGCUACAAGUUCAGUGCACUCCUUGCGUGGACCUGUCUGAGACUCCUCUUGAGAAUCCCGACUUGAUUCUGUAUGUGGAUGGCUCUGCUUCUAGAGACCCAGCCACAGGAACUAAUCGUGUUGGGUCAGGCCAACUCUCUCAUCACCUCUCAGCACAGGCAGCAGAGCUUAUUGCACUCACAGAGGCCUGCAAAUUGGCAACAGAUACGUCUGUAAACAUUUACACAGACUCAAGAUAUGCAUUUGGUGUUGUACAUGACUUUGGAGCGAUAUGGAAACAUAGACUGCAUCACGGAAAAACAUUUAGCAUCACAAACUUAUUGAUGCCUUGUUAUCUGCAAUUCUGCUCCCCAAGGCCAUCUCUGUGUGUAAAUGUGCAGCACACACACGAGCCGGUGACCAUGUAUCUCAGGGGAAUGCCAGAGCGGAUGCAACGGUUAAAGCUGCUGCCUCACGCUCAUUGCCACAGCAACAGAAAGCUGAACACACACUGACAACAAGCCCUGCCUGCCUAAACAUUUAUUUUCGACCUAUGUUAAAUUGGCACAUGGGGUUGAUCAUGUGUCAAAAGGGGGGAAUGCUUAGUGACAUGGGGCCUUUUGAAGUCCUGUUUGCAGUCCCUCCUGACAUUGGUGUGAGACCUCCAACCUCUUCCACUCCCUCCACUACUCUCUGUGAACAUGACAUGCUAACCUAUUGUAUCAAACUGUCUUCCACUCUCUCCUCCAUCAGAAAACAGGUUGAAGCAGCCCUACCCCAACCGGCCACACACCCACUACACAAGUUACAGCCUGUUGACUAUUGUUAAAUAUAUCAUGAAAUAAAUACGGUGAAUUAUUAAGCCUGGCUGUGGCUAUGUUAAGUGUGGGAACAUGAAUUUAUCACCAAACUCAGUAUUACUAGCUUAAUCUUAGAUGUACACUGCACUUUUAUACUUUGAUUUAUGUACUGUACACAUCACUAUGUAAGUUGUGGUACUUUUAUAUCUUGCUCCAUGUAACAUACACAUUAGUAUGCAUGUAUGUAUGUAUGUAUGUAUGUAUGUAUGUAUGUAUGUAUGUAUGUAUGUAUAUUGUUGUACUUUUAUACCUUGAUUAAAGUACCAUACGCAUUACUA